rnacentral:rRNA from 1 species
UGGAGCACCAAANCANGUCUUGGACUUUGGAGGCCUUUGCUGGCACCUCUCUUUCUGAAGGCCAGCUCCUCGUCUCAAACACAAUUANCANGGUCCUCUUUGCUGAUCCUCGACGUGUGAUAAGAUGUUUCCAUGUCAUUGUUUUCUGGCUCUGUCACCUUUGGGACCUGCUUCUAACUGUCCGGACCUUGCGUCGAGACAACGUUCGAGCAUGUGCCUCCCUUCUUGGGAAGCUCCCUCGACCCCACGAACCCUUGACCUCAAAUCGGGUGAGACUACCCGCUGAACUUAAGCAUAUCAAUAA